UCCUGUCUCAGUCUGGCUCUGUCUCCUGUUUUUCCUUCUUUUCUGCUACCUCCGUUUGAUUUAUCAAUCGCUUUUCAUUUCAGGUCUGCUGUUUUCUGGUUGGAGUAUUUUUAAUAGUCUGCAUUAUUAAAUGGAAAGCAAACUACAGGUGUGGCCAUUAAUUCUGCUGGGGAAAGGACAGCCUGCCUUCUUCAAGCAUCCAAGACCUGCUGCAGAAUAUGUGAGAACAUGUAUUUCUGUGGAAUGGUACCAGCACAGGAUGAUGCUGUGAGUGGCACUGAGCAGCGUGUGGUCCUCGGCUGGGUGAUGUCUUCUGCCCACAGCUUGUGGCCAUACCCAAGCAGGGCACGGACCGCAGCUGGCAGCCCCUUUAUGAAGCCCAGUGGUUCCAGCUCAUCCACCAUCUAUUUUGGCACCUGAGGAUCUUCCCAGCCCAUGCAAAGUGCACAGCUUUGUGGUUGGUAAGUUUUGUGCAGCAGCAGAGUGUCUUACUGGGACUAUUGUGUGGGGCAAGAUGGGUUCACCAUGUGUUGGUAGCUGUGGCAUCAGGCAAAUUUUUUGUCUAU
rnacentral:lncRNA from 1 species